rnacentral:rRNA from 1 species
CCUACGGGAGGCAGCAGUGAGGAAUAUUGGUCAAUGGACGAGAGUCUGAACCAGCCAAGUAGCGUGAAGGAUGACUGCCCUAUGGGUUGUAAACUUCUUUUAUAUGGGAAUAAAACGUUCCACGUGUGGGAUUUUGUAUGUACCAUAUGAAUAAGGAUCGGCUAACUCCGUGCCAGCAGCCGCGGUAAUACGGAGGAUCCGAGCGUUAUCCGGAUUUAUUGGGUUUAAAGGGAGCGUAGGUGGAUUGUUAAGUCAGUUGUGAAAGUUUGCGGCUCAACCGUAAAAUUGCAGUUGAAACUGGCAGUCUUGAGUACAGUAGAGGUGGGCGGAAUUCGUGGUAUAGCGGUGAAAUGCUUAGAUAUCACGAAGAACUCCGAUUGCGAAGGCAGUUCACUGGACUGCAACUGACACUGAGGCUCGAAAGUGUGGGUAUCAAACAGGAUUAGAUACCCGAGUAGUC